ACUAAAUUUCAAAUAGCCAAGCACUUCGAUCAAAAUCAAAUCAACAAAACCUCACGAAAUCACAUCAACCAAUGAAAUACCACUUAAUCGACAAAUUGUCCAAUAUUAUUGAUCAAUCAUAUUUUGUAUCGCACAAUUCCAAAGUUUUAUUUAAUCCAAUAAGUAAAUCAAUUUCAUAAAUGCAAAAAUCUAACCUUAAAAAUCAGCACUGACAAAAAUCUUCCCAAAGCCAAUCACUCUCGAUCAAUCGCAAAUUACACUUAAAUAUCGUUUCAUCGACAAACCGUCAAUGUUAAACUCGGAUCACUUCUCAUCGAUCAGUCAUUAAUGUCAACUAUCCACUAUAAAUACUUCUUCCGAAUAAAACCAAAAUUAUCGUAAAAAGAAUGGUAUCAAAGUAACUCGAACGAGGGUGCUCGAAUGUCGUAUAAAAUAAUUUACAGUUCGUCUAUGCAAAGUAUAACCACCAGCAAAGUAUGUGAAUGUGCGUCGAUAUGCGGCGUCUUGCUUGACCAACGAUGCAAGACGAGUCGAUAGGCUUAUCGAUUAGUCGACGCGGUCCAUCGCGGAAUGUCAGUAUCGAACAGCGGCGAUUGCUGUCCGAUAUCUAGUCGAUAUCUAGUCGAUUUCCAGCCAAUUCAUGGUAGUUGGAUGAUUCAGGGGAACGUUGACUGUGAGCUCGCCCCUGGCGCCGUGGCCUGUUUAAUUUUAGGGUAUUACGCGUGCAGGCGGCAGCCUGGUCGAGGCUAAAGGGUACCUCUGCCUCGGUAUUUGCCAAGAUAUUAUCGUGAAAAAGGGAAAGGAGAGAAGCAGUGGGUAACGAGGAGGGCGUGUCCGUUGGUUCGAGACGAGCCUCUAGGAUGCAUCCGACACUGUUUCGCGAAUUAGCCCCGUCUCGAAUCAUCGUGGCCCAUCAGGGAAAUCGUCGUGACUCGGGGUUGCUAGGCAAUACGUCGAAUGGGUAUCCUGUUCUUUGGAAUUGUGCGAAUCGGUUCAAUGCCUUUGCCAAUGAUGGUUCUCUGAACCAGUGUUUCUCAACUUGUGGAUCGUGAUUCUUAAAAAAAUCAGGUGAAGAGUUUUGAAAAGAGUAUUAUUUAUAUAGAAAAUUAUAUUGGAAAGUAUGAAAAUAUGAUAAAUGGAAGUAAUUUGAAAAUAGUAAAAUAUUUUGAGAUUCAAGAAUUCAAUAUUCAGUUUUAAAUUCCUUUUUUUAAAUAUUCAUUGAAAAAUUGUGUUUGAUAAUAUUUCUAGGUUAAAUUUAUUACUUUCGUAUAAUGUAAGUUUUGUAAGUUACAGCAUAAAUUGAGACACAAGUUAAAUAGAAAUGUAAAAUGCGGUGAUAAAAUACUGAUAGAAAUAGGUUUUGUAAAUAGAAGAGAAAUUUUAAACGGAAUACGUGCAUAAAAUAUGCAAGGUGACAGAGAAAGUGCAGCUAUCCUGAUGAAAAAUCAAUAUCAGAUAGAAAAGGAACAAAAAUUUCUUCAAAUUAAAAAAAAAAAUGUUAAAAUAAUUUGCAUAUACUACAAUUAAAAACAAAUCAGAAAUCAUACUUGAAUUAUCGAGGCGCUGAUUUUUUAUCUACGGAUGAAAUCAUAUAAUACGAUUAUGAUAUUUGCAUACAUUUCUUUCUCGUUGCAAGCGAUUGAUAUUCUCCAAUCAUUUCCAUAGAUCAAUCUCUCGAAGUAGAAAGAACGAGCGGCCUAUAAGAAAUAUCGACAGGAAUGAUUAUUGGCAAAUAACCGGAGGUAUAAUUAUAUAUCAGAGGAUGUAUAUAUACUAUGAAACGACGCACCGCUGAAAGUUCGGUAUAUUUAACAGUGGCCGCACGUAUGAGAUAUAAGUUUGAUAUCGAAGUUGCGUGCAGAAUCACCGAAUUAUCGACUUGCAGCGAUCGAAGUGUGAAGCGUGCCGACGAUCGUGCGUCGAAUUUAUAAUCGAUUUUUUGUAAGUCUUGAGAAACUAGUAUCCAUUCGUUUCAAAAUUCAACGAGUUUAUUCAAUUGUAAGUUGUAGAAAGGAUAAAAUAUCGUUAAAUUAUUUGUAUUUUAAUUAU